rnacentral:misc_RNA from 1 species
AGCCAAGUGGAACCCAAAUAUCUAAUUGGGAAUAAACUUUACACUCUAAAGGAAAAAGAGGAUUUGGGUAAGAAGGGUUUAUUGAAUGGUGGUGUUUUGGAGAUACUAAAAAGGUUAAAUAUUAAAGGAAUGGUGAAGAAUGGAAGUGAUGAGGGUAGUUUAAUGAAGUCUGGGGAUGUGUUUUUGAAGGAUAUUUUGAGGGAGUAUAAAGGGAAGUUAUAUGUUCCUGAGCAAAUUUU